UGGGGAAUUUUGGACAAUGGGCGAAAGCCUGAUCCAGCAAUGCCGCGUGUGUGAAGAAGGCCUUCGGGUUGUAAAGCACUUUUGUCCGGAAAGAAAUCCUUGGCUCUAAUACAGUCGGGGGAUGACGGUACCGGAAGAAUAAGCACCGGCUAACUACGUGCCAGCAGCCGCGGUAAUACGUAGGGUGCAAGCGUUAAUCGGAAUUACUGGGCGUAAAGCGUGCGCAGGCGGUUUGCUAAGACCGAUGUGAAAUCCCCGGGCUCAACCUGGGAACUGCAUUGGUGACUGGCAGGCUAGAGUAUGGCAGAGGGGGGUAGAAUUCCACGUGUAGCAGUGAAAUGCGUAGAGAUGUGGAGGAAUACCGAUGGCGAAGGCAGCCCCCUGGGCCAAGUACUGACGCUCAUGCACGAAAGCGUGGGGAGCAAACNGGAUUAGAUACCCUGGUAGUCCACGCCCUAAANGAUGUCAACUAGUUGUUGGGGAUUCAUUUUCCUAGUAACGUAGCUAACGCGUGAAGUUGACCGCCUGGGGAGUACGGUCGCAAGAUUAAAACUUAAAGAAUUGA
rnacentral:rRNA from 1 species